AUAUAAAUCACAGUGUAUUUAUUGAUUACAAUUUAUAACUUGAACACCCAGGUAGAAGAGAAACAAUGGUAAUACAACGUUUCAGCAAGUUCUCUAUAAAAUACUGUUUUUUUGUUUCUUUAGCAUUACCUCUAGGCAGGAAGAAAUAAAUACAUCAGAAAAUAAGAUAGAAAUUCAAUUGCUAGCCUAGACAACUAAUAUUGAUCUUACUAUUGAUACAUAUUCAAUAAUUGGUGUAAAACUUUGUGUCACUAAGCUAUUUUAAAGUGUAAUUCAAAUAUGAAAUCCUACAGUUACAGACAUAUGCCAGGACACAUAAAUUGCAGUAUUGCUCUUAAAUUGGAAACCUACAAGGACAAAUGAAGAUAGUCCAUGAUGACAUCUGUAAGAGCAGCAGCAUUUGAGCAAUGUCAAGACAAUACUGUUGCAUCAUGUAGGACAAAGCUGGCCACCCAAUGCAUUGUCUCUUAAUUCAAAGAUUAUAUAUGAUUACAACAAACUGUAGACCAGUAGAAAGAUCCAGCCACAGAUGUGCAUAGUUUGUCACAUCUAAGUCAUGUACAAUGCAAAUAACUAAAAAGACUAAAAAAAAGAUAUAUAUUAAUUAAAGAUAGUCUACACAUUUUUAGUAGCAUGAACAGUUCUACUAUAAUAAUACUAUUAAAACAAUACAAGUAUAUGUUGAUAAUAUUUGACAAGCUGUUAGCCUUAGACCUUUGGAAUGAAUGAAUCAUUGAGAGCAAUAGGUAUUCAAUUUGUGUCUUAUUAAAUGUAAACAAUUAUUUUUGUUGCAACAUUGAACCCUGAAGACAAUACACCAUCACCGAAUAGAAUGUUCUAGCAGUUGACACACAAACUGAUUACAUGGGGGACACACUCAAAUGCUGAGUUCUUCAACAAAAUGUUCAUUCGCUGAAUAGCUGUUACAUAGUUUAAAUAUGUCAAAAGAAAAAAAACAUUUAGAGUUUCCUCAGUUUUGUCAAAUAUAUACACCAUAAAAAAAUAAAUUCACUAAGUUAUUAAAAUAUGUAAAUAAGAAUCAGAGAUUCUAACUCGCAGUAGAGUUUCUUUCACUUGACAAGUUUCAGUCUCAAGCAAUUUGGUGUAGUCUUAACAUGACUUCAAAUAAAAAUAUCAGAUCCAGAUAAAUUAUUUCCAAAUAAAUAAAAGCUAUCGAAGAGAAAGGCUAUAUACAGUAAAAGUCUAUCAUAUUAUAGUAUGCUAUACAUAGCAACAUUGCCAGGAUUAAAAGUAUCCUUGGACUCAAAUAGAAAACUAUAAUUGUUCAACCAAAAAAAAACAACGUUGGACAGCAUGUAAACUGGAGGUACAAUUUAAAGGACAAAGGAGAAGAAAAAAGGAUUAAGUCAAUACAAAAAUAGAAAACAUCUAAAAUGUAUAAAAAAAAGAAAUAAAAUAAAAUAUGAGUAUUGAACAAAAUAAAAGUAUAUCUCUAUGCUCUGUCUUCAUGACAUUUCCACAUUCACAGCCAUACAUCUCAGUUUAAAAAUGAGAAUGAAAAAAGAAACUAUGCUACCACCAGACAAAACAUUUGCUAAAUAAUUUUAAAAACUAAAGUCACUUUUUAAAAGUGGACCAAAUGAACUCAAAGAGUUUCUUCUGCUAGUAUAUCGCUAUUGAAAGAAACCAAGCUAAAAGGUAUACAUUAUCUUUCUAGUAGUUACAGACAGAAUUUCUGUUUCCCUUCAGAAUACUGAUCUUGACAUUCAUGUUUUCACCAUUUUUGUGUGACUAAAAAGCACAAGUUACUGAAGAGGCAUCAAUGUCUUAACAGGUACAUCUGUCUUGUCACAUGUACAUCUUUCUAGUCAAGCUAGUUCAGAGGUACAUCAAUGUCUUGUCAAGUUAGUUCACAGUUACAUCUAUGUCUUGUCAAGUUAGUUCA